UGAGAAGUUGCUAGGGUAGACUGA
rnacentral:piRNA from 1 species